CCAAGGAGUCUAACAUGUGCGCGAGUCACUCGGUCUUGAAUAGGCCAGAGAGGCACAAUGAAAGUAAAGUUGAUUGAGUUACGAUCCUUAGUUAGCCCGUAAGGGCGCUGAGGCGCAGUAACAGCCCGCCAAUUUCGCUUAUUGACGAUCUGGCGGAGUUGUAGCGUACACGUUGGUACCCGAAAGAUGGUGAACUAUGCCUGGGCAAGACGAAGCCAGAGGAAACUCUGGUGGAGGUCUGUAGCGAUUCUGACGUGCAAAUCGAUCGUCAGACCUGGGUAUAGGGGCGAAAGACUAAUCGAACCAUC
rnacentral:rRNA from 1 species